AGACCCGAAACCCGGUGAUCUAGCCAUGGGCAGGUUGAAGGUUGGGUAACACUAACUGGAGGACCGAACCGACUAAUGUUGAAAAAUUAGCGGAUGACCUGUGGCUGGGGGUGAAAGGCCAAUCAAACCGGGAGAUAGCUGGUUCUCCCCGAAAGCUAUUUAGGUAGCGCCUCGUGAAUUCAUCUCCGGGGGUAGAGCACUGUUUCGGCUAGGGGGCCAUCCCGGCUUACCAACCCGAUGCAAACUGCGAAUACCGGAGAAUGUUAUCACGGGAGACACACGGCGGGUGCUAACGUCCGUCGUGAAGAGGGAAACAACCCAGACCGCCAGCUAAGGUCCCAAAGUCAUGGUUAAGUGGGAAACGAUGUGGGAAGGCCCAGACAGCCAGGAUGUUGGCUUAGAAGCAGCCAUCAUUUAAAGAAAGCGUAAUAGCUCACUGGUCGAGUCGGCCUGCGCGGAAGAUGUAACGGGGCUAAACCAUGCACCGAAGCUGCGGCAGCGACACUCAGGUGUUGUUGGGUAGGGGAGCGUUCUGUAAGCCUGUGAAGGUGUGCUGUGAGGCAUGCUGGAGGUAUCAGAAGUGCGAAUGCUGACAUAAGUA
rnacentral:rRNA from 1 species